CCAUAAUUAUUUGGCAUGUGUAAUACAUGUAGGUAGCCGAGUGGUAGGCGCGGUGCAAUUAAAGGGGAACUCCACGAAAAAAUGAAACUUUGAUAGCCUGUAGAGUUUCGGGCGCUGAGUCGAAUGGUCUUGGUCCGAAGUCUCUACGACGAAGCGUUCUUGAGAUAUUUCACUUUGAAAUUGCAAAAACGGGGGCCGCGCCCUGACGUCAUGCGGCCAUUUGGUUACAUCAUCACGGGCUGCCUACGUCAUUGUGGCAAAGUCGUUUCUCUUCGCCAGUCUACAAGCACUAAUUAUUUUAGUUGGUAUUUCAAGGGAAGAUGGGCGAUUCCGAACAAUCCUCUGUCCCCAGCAAUGAAGGCAGCGAUGCUGAGGCCAGUGAGGACGACCAACAGCCCACCGCCGCGUAUGGUUGGGGCAGGGAGCCCAGAUACUCUGCUGAGGAGCUGCCAUCGCGUGUAACAAAUGUGGAGGAAGAAGAUGCGUCAGCAGCUGCGUCCGACAGAAGACGAGUAGCUUGGCCACCAGAAUCUCGAUUCGUUUGGGACUCCGACUGGUGCGAGCGUGGACAAAAGUGUAUAGCCAUGCCCAGCCCGCGGGAAUGAUUUUGCUGGUAGGAUGCUGCCGUCGCUGUCGACAAGACGGCCCAAGGUUUCUUGCGUAGCGGACCUCGCAGAUUACGAGAUCGCAUCCUUGCAUUAGGCUGUGCUCAUCACUGCUCUUCGAGGUUAUCUCGACAUGCAGAAGCCGCCAAUGCCAGUGACAGAAGAGUCUGACAUUAGAUCUCUACGCUAUGCGGCACACAGGCAGUACACACUAUGUACACGGCAAAUUGGGCAAGCACGUUCGUUGUCGUCUUCCAGCCUGCGUUGUGAAUACCAUCAGGCAAAGAUAUCCAAAUCCUGCACCACCUCAGCCUUCUCAGGAGGCUUCCACCUGGAAUUUGGCAGGGAAACACGCUUCUCCAAGGCAGGAACAUGGAGGUUGCCAUUUGCAACCGCUACCACCUCACACAUGAGCUUGUCAACAUACUCAUAGCUCUUUCUGUCGUAUAAUUUUCUAUUUGGCCACAGUCUUCUUUAUGCUUUGAGAACUGGACUUUAUACCUUCC